AUUGAACGCUGGCGGCAGGCCUAACACAUGCAAGUCGAACGAGUGGCGGACGGGUGAGUAAUGUCUGGGAAACUGCCUGAUGGAGGGGGAUAACUACUGGAAACGGUAGCUAAUACCGCAUACCAUCGGAUGUACCCAUAUGGGAUUAGCUAGUAGGUGGGGUAAAGGCUCACCUAGGCGACGAUCCCUAGCUGGUCUGAGAGGAUGAACAGCAACACUGGAACUGAGACACGGCCCAGACUCCUACGGGAGGCAGCAGUGGGGAAGAUUGCACAAUGGGCGCAAGCCUGAUGCAGCCAUGCCGCGUGUAUGAAGAAGGCCUUCGGGUUGUAAAGUACUUUCAGCGGGGAGGCGUUACCCGCAGAAGAAGCACCGGCUAACUACGUGCCAGCAGCCGCGGUAAUUC
rnacentral:rRNA from 1 species